CUGAAAGUAUUGCCAUAUGUCUCCAGCAGGGAGGGCAGGGCCCGCGCUUGUUCCUCCACCCCCUACAGCUUCCCUUCCACCAGCAGCUCGGUCAUCACCCGUGGGAGCCCCCAGUGCAGCUUCAUCAAAUGAUUUUAUGAAGCAUCUAGACUUUCCUUGCAGGAAGCUGGGCCCUGGAAAUGCAGAGGCAGCCUGGCAGGAGGCCCACCCCCAGGGAGAAGCAGGCUGCUGACAAGCCCUGGAGCCCAGGCAGCUGUCAAAAAGUGGGGUGCUCCCCUGGGCCCUCAGAUGAUGGUAAAGCGUAUGUCUACAAUGCAGGAGACCCAGGUUUGAUCCCUGGGUUGGGAAGA